UACGAAGGGGGCUAGCGUUGUCCGGAAUUAUUGGGCGUAAAGAGCUCGUAGGCGGUUUGUCGCGUCUGCUGUGAAAACCCGAGGCUCAACCUCGGGCCUGCAGUGGGUACGGGCAGACUAGAGUGCGGUAGGGGAGAUUGGAAUUCCUGGUGUAGCGGUGGAAUGCGCAGAUAUCAGGAGGAACACCAAUGGCGAAGGCAGAUCUCUGGGCCGUAACUGACGCUGAGGAGCGAAAGCAUGGGGAGCGAACAGG
rnacentral:rRNA from 1 species